rnacentral:rRNA from 1 species
AUUGAACGCUGGCGGCAUGCCUUACACAUGCAAGUCGAACGGCAGCACGGGAGCAAUCCUGGUGGCGAGUGGCGAACGGGUGAGUAAUAUAUCGGAACGUGCCCAGUCGUGGGGGAUAACGUAGCGAAAGCUACGCUAAUACCGCAUACGAUCUAUGGAUGAAAGCGGGGGAUCGCAAGACCUCGCGCGAUUGGAGCGGCCGAUAUCAGAUCAGGUAGUUGGUGAGGUAAAGGCUCACCAAGCCGACGAUCUGUAGCUGGUCUGAGAGGACGACCAGCCACACUGGGACUGAGACACGGCCCAGACUCCUACGGGAGGCAGCAGUGGGGAAUUUUGGACAAUGGGCGCAAGCCUGAUCCAGCAAUGCCGCGUGCAGGAUGAAGGCCUUCGGGUUGUAAACUGCUUUUGUACGGAGCGAAAAGGCUUCCACUAAUACUGGGGGCUCAUGACGGUACCGUAAGAAUAAGCACCGGCUAACUACGUGCCAGCCGCCGCGGUAAGAC